rnacentral:rRNA from 1 species
UACGGAGGGGGCUAGCGUUGUUCGGAAUUACUGGGCGUAAAGCGCACGUAGGCGGACCAUCAAGUUGGGGGUGAAAUCCCCGGGCUCAACCUGGGAACUGCAUCUGUGACUGCAUCGCUGGAGUGCGGCAGAGGGGGAUGGAAUUCCGCGUGUAGCAGUGAAAUGCGUAGAUAUCGGGAGGAACACCAGUGGCGAAGGCGGCUUCCUGGCCUGUUCUUGACGCUGAGGCGCGAAAGCUAGGGGAGCAAACGGG